rnacentral:miRNA from 1 species
AGGCCUCUGUGACGUCACGGUGU